GCAAAAAUGCAAGAUUCUUGAAUAACUUUUUCGGACGAUGCGAAUGCGCGACACGAAGGCGACUUUUUUAUUGGAGCAAAAAUGCAAGAUUCUUGAAUAACCUUUUCGGACCAUGUGAAUGCGUGAUGAUAAAGCAGAAAAAGGAUAAGAGGGCUUAAAAAUUUAAAAAUUGGAUGGACCCCCAUCUUCCAUCUUCCAAGAAGCUGCCCCCCCUAGACCCCAAGCCUCAAGACUUCUGCUUCGGCCAUUGGCUUAAAAGACCACGAACUGCUGCGGUGCUUCCUCUGCCUUCUGUUCGCUUCACCAUUUUUCCUCCACUUUGGGUUCUCUCUCGCAGUCGUUCCUUCCUUUACUUCACCUAUAUUGUUUUUGAAUUAAUACUCUUGCUGCGGAAUUUCAUUUGGAGGAUUAUUGGCAAGUUUUUACCAGAUCUGUUAAUUCAUGAGCAGAUUACCACGAUCUUUUUCUUGCCAAAAGAAUUGCUCCAUUCUAAUAAACUUUUCAGUACGGAACAACCCUGCUAAUGGAGGAAAAGAGACAUUAAAGGAAACAGGGGUUUCCGGAUCUGAUUCCGAGGAAACAUUUUCCUUCUAGCGGUAGCAGCCAAUGAAACCCAGUUGCCACUUUUAUGGACUUUUUGAUGACAUACUCUGCCUGAAAUAGAUUCAAACUGCUCAAUGGAUUUCUAAUGUUCGAGUACGAAGGAACACAAUCGCAUACGGUGGAAGUGGAAAUAUUGAACCAGAAGGGUAGAUCUGAUAACGAUCUCACGCUGGAUGUUAAACCGGCCGGAGGCUAUGAACUACAACCCGGUGAAUUAGGGUGACAAGCUUCUCAAGCAAAAAGGGAUGAGAUCUGGGAUUACUUGAUGAACGAAAAGGUGCUCUGCACUGGAGUUUGAGGACGAGGGGGACCGAGUAAAACCUCUCUCGUGAAGCAUAUACAUGAUUAAAUUUUGCAGAACUGUAGAAGGUUUCCGUGGUGCUUUUUUGGUCACUGAUCGCAGGAAGGCGCUGUUGGUGUGGUAUAAACUGAUAUUGCGUACUUCUCGAACUGGAUUUGACGGAGCAGGGUAGGAAGAACAGGUCCAUAUCCCUAUCUGUGAGCGAUAUUUACCGGGGUGCAAGACUGAGGGACGGAUUGCUGGGUAGGAAGAACAGGUUCAUAUCUCUGUUUGAAGCUUCGACCUUUGGAUUGGAGAACCCUUGUCAUUUACUAUUGACUUGUAAAGGGGCAUGCUUUCUUUGUGAAAAUAGUGGGAAUUCUUGUGACACUUGUGGGAAGCGUUACAUUGGUCAUUGUCGCUGGAAUGCACGGGCAUGCUUUCUUUUGUGAAGAUAUUCAGAUUUCUUGCGACACUUGUGGGAAGCGUCACAUUGGUCAUUGUCGCUCGAAUGCAGGGGCAUGCUUUCUUUGUGGGAAUAUUAGAUAUAUGGCACAUGGCUGUUGUAUGCAAAGGGAUGAUCUAGCUGAUUGUACAUCAAGCUUUCUGUGCGGGCAGGUUGGACAUAGAGCAUGAACUUGUUCUAUGGGGAGGAAUGCCCCUAUUGUUUGCAUGCCACAAGGUAAUGAACAAAGGCAAAAAGCAACUGGAAAAGUUUUCAUCGUGACAGAGUCGGAUGCUGCAGUUUUUAAUGCAGUCGUUGCAGGAAAUUGUAAAGGCACUUGUCCAAUAUUGAUCUCAGCCUUGCAAGCAAGAGACUUUUGAAAAUGGACUUUUAUGAUUAUUUGACUUGUCUAAAAGACAAAAGGAAGGGUGUUAUAAAGCAUUCCUAUUAUCAGAGUUUCGAGAUGUGUUUCCUUAACAUCUACCGAGUUUGCCUCCUGAUGGAGAGAUUGAAGUCUACAUUGACUUGAUGAUCGAUACAGUACCUAUGCACCAUCAUCGGAUGGUAUUUUCUAAACUAAAGGAAUUGAAAACACAGUUGGAAGAGCUUUUGGAUAAGUGUUUCAAUAGACCCAAUGUUUCAUCCUGAAGCAAUUGUUCAGUGGAAUUGGCCUACUAAUGUUAUAGAUGGGAGAAACUUUCUUCGGUUAACUAACUUCCACAGGCUAUUGGUGAAGGGAUUCCUUAAAAUUGCCAGUCCACUUACUUUGCCAAACUCAUAAGGGAGUUAAAUUUGUUUGAUCAGGCCAAUGUGGAUGCAGUUUCCAAGAAUUAAAAAGGCAGUUAAUUUUGGCUCCGGUAUUGAUUUUGCAUACAUCGACAAGUGGGUUAACAAUUUACUAUGACACAUCAGCAUUGCUUGUGUAAUGAAAAGAAUGAAGAUUUUACAGAACAUGAAAGCUUGAAAUAUGCUUUUACUAAAAAGAAGUGAAGAUGAGGUAGAUGAGACAGUUAAAGCAUUUGAAAGAUUUUGAUCGGUCUAUUAAUUGCUAGAUAGGCAAAGCAAGCAUGGUGACGGAUGCAUUGACUCUUAAGUCUUGUGAAAACAUGACAGCUUUACUCACUACUCCAAAAUCUAUUCUUGAGAAUAUGAGAAAGUUGGACUUGGAGGCAUUGGUUCAUUGGCUUGGUUACAAUUGACAUUAGUUGACAUAAUAUUGCUUGACUUUGGCUUCCCUCUUGUAGCUGCUCUAUCCUCUACUCAACCCUUGUUGUCUCUGCCAUUGCUGAUAAUCUGGAGCUAUCUUCUUUCCCUAAAUUUUCUUGUGCUCUCUCGCAGACAAUGGAGGGUUAGAGAGAACGAUUCAGACCUUAUUGGACAUAUUGAGCUAUAACAUUAUUGAUUUUGGUGGCUCUUGAGAUGAACACUUGGUAGAAUUUACCUACCCAUGCAUGGUUGCAUUGGUGGGGGUGUUCUCCUUUGGUAUAUCCGAACCAAGAGGUAGGAGUUCGAACCCCCAAGAUAUGCUCCGUGAUUUAAGUGGAGGACCUUGUGCAGUAGGUUGCUGGGCCAAUUUCAUUUGAGGUAUAGUCGGUGCUUUACUUCCGUAAGAUAUCCGAUUUUGGGACAAUGUUGGUGAAAAGAGACUAACUGAUUCAGAGUUUAUUCAACUAUCAAAAGAAAGAGGCAGAUCUAAUGGCAAAACCACACCGAAAGAGGGGUUACUUGGGAGUUCAAGGAGGAUGCAAAGCGCGAACACCCUUAUUUCAGGUAAGGCCCAAAAAUGAUUUUAGUGCGUUAAUGAGUUCAAUUUGAUAUAUUAAAUGGUGAUCGGCAUUGUCUUGAUUGCCUUAAAAUUAAUCGGAAUUGCCUCAUUUUUUGCUUUGAUGAGUGAACCAUAUACCAAUUUAUCUAAUGUAUAUUUCUUUGAGAAGCAACACGCAUGAUGAAAUAAAUAAAAAAUAAAAACAUGAAAUCCUAGUUAUCAUUACAAAAUGUAGCUAAGUUGAUUAGAUGUCAAUCUAAAAUCUAUUAUUUUUUUCUUUUUGGGUGAAGCAACACCUAUGCAAUAUUUUUCCUUUUAACCUUUAAUAUCAUUUAAUUAUCCAAUACGGGCUGUCAUAAUAUUGUCUAACAUCAUUUAUUUGUGGACACAUUUUUUGUAUUGUAUUUUCUAAAUGGAGUCGUGUAACUGGGUCAUAUUUUUAACUUUGUUUGUUUCAAUAAUUUUUCAUUGGAGUUCUGAACAAAAAAUGAUAAAUAGUAUAAAGAAAGGUACCGUUAAAAAUUCUUUUCCCCCAAAAAAACCUCCGGUGUGAUUAGUGCAGAACCAGUCCCAAUAUUCGAAAUAAGUUCUAUCCUUUUUCUACGAUUUUUAAUCUACCAUAUAUGCUAUAAAAUAGCUUUUAAAACAAAGGGAGACUUCGUUUUGCAACCAACGGUGCUUUGUGUUGGCUGAAAUCAAUAAUAUGGAGGACUUUUUCGUGAAAAUGAUCGUCAAUUUGUCAUUUACUAAUAUUAGUUAAUGAUAAAUAUUUUUAAUAUUAACAAUAGUUUUUAUAUAAAUAUUUUCGUCAUCAAGAAAAAUAUUUUGCACCGAUCAAUUUUGUAAGCUAUCAUAUAUAGGGAGUCUUUUCUGAAUUGUUGAUUUUUCGGGCAAGGUGCACACUCCAAAGAUUCAUUUGAUGACAAAAUUAUCAUAUCUUCGGAACGAUAUAGUUCAUGAGAUAUGACGUGAUGAUGAUGCAGAAAAGCGAGAGGGGACUAGAAAUAUUCUCAAAUAUCUUUUACAAAUUAUAUGUUAAUCAGCACCAUUUUUUGACAUGCCUCCCGUGUGACCCCCAAGUCAUACGGCUAUCAUCUUCCGGGAAGAUGCACGCAAGACUCUGCAAUAAUCUUUUCAGACGAUGUGAAUGCGUGAUAACUAAUCAGAAAAUGAUAAGAGGGCUUACAAGUUAGAAAAUUAGAUAGAACCCAUCUUCCAUCUUCCAAGAAGGUGUCCCCCGUAGACCCCAUGCCUCAGUACGUUUGCUUCGGGCAUUGGCUUAAAAGAGCAGAAACCGCUGCGAUGCUUCCGGAGCUUCCGUUCACUCUUUUUUUUUUUGGUUCAAAAGCCAUCCCUUCCUUUGCUCUACCCAUAUUGUCUCUCGACUCCAUUGUUGGAAAUUCGGGGCUCUCUUCUUUUUUUCCUAAAUUUUUCUUGUGCUCUCCCUCGUACAGAUGGAUGGUCAUAUUACAUCGACAUUAGACCGAAUGGAUUAAUUGGCCUACAUCACUUAUUUAUCUUGGUGAAAUCUCUUGCAAAUUAAUCUCGCGAAAAAGGAAUGUACCAUAUUCCUAACAUUACGAGUAGAUAGAAAUAUUCUCUAUGCUUGGGGGCGAAUAAGCAGAUUGGAUUUGUCUUUUAGAUUUUAAACGACCACUUUGCAGUCAUGUCAACUGCAUGAGACUUCCAAUUUGAAUGUUAUGAUUGGAUACUUUGGCUCUGAAAUGGAUCUGCUGUUCUGUCCCAAAUUGGAUAGCGAUUUCUCCUUUUUCCGUAUGGCUCAUCGAGUUGCCGUAUGUUUGUAUGGCAGCGAACAGGGGAGAGAGCUAAAGAAAGCUCCUUCCUCCGAUCAUGUUAUUAUGUCUGGUCCCUGUACAUUAGUAGGAUCUGAUUUGUUUUUCAUGUUCAUGGCAUUUUGUAUCGCAUGAAGUUUCACAAACCAUCGAGUUGGUGUUCUGUGAUUGUUUUUCACCUUCCUUUCAAAAAUCAGGUAUAGAAUUUUUCUCGAAAUCUCUAUACUGCACCUAGGUCACCAAGCUGUUUUCCCAAAAACAUUUAUUUUCCUCUACGAUGCACUAGUAAAUCAAUUUGUUGGGAUUUGUUUAUUUUACCCGCCACUAGUAUUAUCUUUUAAUGUUGUUUUCUGGCAAUACUUAUUUAAUGGCUUCUGAAGUAAAACAACUUUCUUUUAUAUCUGAACUUGAUUUUAUUUUACAUGACGUCAAAAUGUCCCCUCUCUCUCUCUCUCUCUCUCUCUCUCUCUCUCUCUCUGUGGUUUCCAUUUCUUUGUUUUGACUGAAAACACUAUAAUUUUCUUCGCCAUGUAUGACCUUGAAAAACCGGUGAAAUGAGAACUUGCACUGAAAUAAUUGCAUUGUAAAAAUUGUGGAAACUCUGAUUUUCUUAACACGCGACUCAAUAGUUUUUGGAAAUUCUGCAUCUCUACGCCGUAUUCAUUGGUAGUUCAUGCCAUGUGAUAUGACGAUGAAGCAGAAAAGCCAGAGGGCCAGAAAUAUUCUCAAACAUCCUUUACAAAUAAUAUAUAAAUCAGCAAAUGCACAGGGCGUCGUCCAGUUUCUGACAUGACAGCGCCUUGUUUGGGGGGAAAAUAUUCCACCCAUAUGACCCAAAGUCGCUUGGCUAUCUUCCAAGAAAGGUGUAUGCAAGACCCUCGACGACCAUUCCACGCGUUAUCUGGCUCGGACAUUAAUGCAAGGUAAGUUCAUGCCGUGGAAGUAGGUGAUUAUAAAGCAGAGAAGGACAGCAGAGCCUAAAAAAAUUUAAAAUGAACAAAAACCACCUUCUAAGAAAGUGUCCCGCGUAGACCCCAUCACCGUUACUCAAGACUUCUGCUCCGGGAAUCGACUUAAAAUCCUACUUUUAUUCACCCCCGCGGCCAUUCCUCCCUUCAUUCGGCCUACUUUGUCUCUUAGUUCCAUUGUGGAAUUAAUCUCUUUGCAAUGUUUUCUUGCAAAACAUGGCAAAACAUAAAAGAGAUGGGGAAGCUUCGUGAAGUUCCAGCGAGCAUAUUCUAUGACAGAUAUGUUAGCUUCGUGUCUAAUCUUUGAAGGAGUUCAAAAAAAGCAUUAUGUACUAAACUCAUAUGGUAUAGCUUUUCAUCCGUAGACAAAUUUAACAAUUAGAGAGAAUGAUUCAAACCUUCAAGUGCAUUUUGAGAUCUUGCGUUAUUGAAGCUUUAUAAUGUGGAAAAAGCAAAACUCCUAUUUGUUGGGAUAGUGUUGGUGAAAAGAGGCUAACUAGCAAGAAUUUAUUUGAAAAUCAGGAAAAAGAAAAAAAAAGAAAGUUAGGUUGUUGAAGAGUGUCUCAUAAUAGCACAGAAUUGUGAGAAAAGCUACACGUACUUUAAAAGGUGCAGAGUGAAAUUUAGCAUGGACAUGUUCUUGAAAGUUUCUCCUAUAAAUGACACUUUGAGAUUUAAUAUGCAUGGCAAAUUAAGUCCAAGAUAUGUCGAAUCAUUGUUGAUAUUAAAGAAGAUUGGUGAUGCUGUUUAUAAACUUGCUUUGCCAUUAGCUUUAUGUGGCGUAGAUAAUCUGUUUUGUAUAUUUUUAUUGUAGAAAUAUAUGCCAAAUCUUGAACAUGUGUUAGAUUUUACACAUUUGAGUUUGUAGGAUGACUUGACUUAUGAGGAACAACCUAUUGACAUUGUUGAUAGAAACGAUCAAGUGCAGCGAUGCCAAACAAUUCCCAAAACCACACUAAGAGAGGCCAUUUGAGAAUUUGAGGAGGAUGCAAUAAGCUAAUAUCUUCAUUUAUUUGAAAGUUGAGGUAAGGCGCAAAAAUAUUUUUAGUGCGUUCACAUAUUCUGUUGGAUACAUUAAAUGUUGAUUGACAUUGUCUUUCCAAUUUAUAGGAACUACCUCUUUUUCUUUGCUUCAAUGAGUUCAAACACAUACCAAUUUAACUUACAGAUCUUAGAGAAGAAACACUAGUGAUAAAAUAAAAAAACAUGAAGCUUUAGUUAUCAUUACCAAAUGUAGCUAGGUUGCUUAGAUGACAAUUUAAUAUUUAUCUAUCUCAUCUUUUUUGGUGAAGCAGCAACUAGGAAAUAUUUUUCUUUUAUAAAUUUUGAAAAAGUAGGUGACUUUUUCGUUGAUUUUUUAUUCAUUAUUAUUAUUGUUAUUGUUAUUGUUAUUUUAUUUUAUUCAUUUAUUUGUAAAAUCCUGGAAAAUAUACUUUACUGUGAGGUAUUUCCUCAAGACUCAUCAAAAUCAAUAUGAUACUGAAACUCCUUCAAAAAAUUACGGUAAUUCUCAAUUCAAAUUAAUUCACAUCAAUUAUAAAGUGAUAAGAAUUACCUCCAUCAACUAUAGAAUGACAAGGAUUAUCUUUGAUAAUCUGUCUAAUCAUGUCUGAAUCAUUAUAGAAUCUAUAUUAACGGCUAACAGGCUCUUGAUUCUAUUUUACUUUUUGUGAACAUUUAAUUUUCAAAUAGUUUCGAUAUUUAAAAAUAAUAUCAUUAUAAUCAUCUGUAAUUAUGCAUUAGCCAUAUUUAUUUAUGGAAUAUGGGAAACUGUGUGCUAUUUUUUAUAUAUGAAAUUAUCGCUUUUUCUAUAUUUCUAAUUUGUUAUGCAAUUUCUUAAUAUUUUUACUAAUUCGUCACAACGUCUAACCAUUCUAAUAAUCCUGUAGUAUUGUUUAUUUUUCCACUUUGGGCUUUCAUCUCAUAUAUUUUUUUUUUAAUGAUAGUCUAACAUCAUUUAUGUAUGGAAAUAUUUUUUAAUUGUAUUUCUAAAUGGAGUUUCAUUAAAUUUUCAUUUGAGUUUCGAAACAGAAAGGAUAAAUAGUCUAAAACUAUCUCCUAUAGACUAGAUAAUUGUCAGAGUCUCAACUAGUUCUUAACUCGAAAUAAACGCGGCCAAAGUACGGUACCUUUUUCUGGCCAAAAAGAAAAAAGAAGAACAAAGUACGGUACCUUUUUUCGAGAAGCCGGAUACAGGUUUCGUGAUAAUUUGUACCAUUUUCCCAUGAUUUUUAAUCUACCUUGAAAAGGGGUUCUCCAAUGAGUAGGCUUUACAAUAAAGGAGAAAUUUCCGUUUUUCAUAUUACUUAAAAUUAUAGAUUAACGAAAAUAUUGCAUCGUCCACAAUAAUCUACGUCCAAGCAUUUUCAUCGUCAAAAAAUUAUCAUUCACCGAUUCAUUUUUGACGAUUAACUUUAAGAAAGUUUUUCCAUGAAUUAUAGCUUUUUGAAUGCACCCAAAAUUCCUUUGAUCGCAGAAGAUUAUGAAACAGAUUAGUUAAUGAGGAUUGGAAAUAGUCUCAAAAAUAUUUCACAGAUCGUAUUUUAUCAGCAAAGCACAAGGCGCCAAACUAGCUUUUGACAUGAAGGCGAGCGACCUUUCUUCGGAGGGAAGAAAGCCUCCAAUGAGACCCCAAGACUUCGGUUGUCUUCCAAGAAGUUGUAUGCAAGACUCUUGAUGAUCGUUCUAUCGUUUGUCCACCUCGGAUAAGGCAAGUUCAUGCCGUGUGUAUAAGUGAUUAUAAAGCAGAAAAGGUGAAGAGGGCUUGAUCAUUUUCAAUUAACUAAAGCCAUAUUUUCCAGGAAAGUGUUCCCCUUCGACCAAAAAAAAAAAAAAAAAGGAAAUUGUUCUCCGGUCGACCCCAUGCCUUAAGACCUUUGCUCCGUUCACGGAUUGCAAAAUCUAUAUAUACUCACUUUACCAUUGGCAA